GUUAGGGUUAGGGUUAGGGUUGGAGUUAGGGUUAGUGUUGGAGCUAGGGUUAGGGUUGGGCUUGGAGCUAGGAUUUUUCUGAGUGCACUGAACCAACUCCCGAGUCUCUAGGACAUUCCUAAAAAAUUUGAUUUUUUCCCAUAGGAAUGCAUGGGUUAGGGUUAUGGUUAGGGUUAGGGUUGGAGCUAGGGUUAGGGUUAGGGUUAGGGUUGGAGUUAGGGUUAGUGUUGGAGCUAGGGUUAGGGUUGGGCUUGGAGCUAGGAUUUUUCUGAGUGCACUGAACCAACUCCCGAGUCUCUAGGACAUUCCUAAAAAAAUUUGAUUUUUUCCCAUAGGAAUGCAUGGGUUAGGGUUAUGGUUAGGGUUAGGGUUGGAGCUAGGGUUAGGGUUAGGGUUAGGGUUGGAGUUAGGGUUAGUGUUGGAGCUAGGGUUAGGGUUGGGCUUGGAGCUAGGAUUUUUCUGAGUGCACUGAACCAACUCCCGAGUCUCUAGGACAUUCCUAAAAAAAUUUGAUUUUUUCCCAUAGGAAUGCAUGGGUUAGGGUUAGGUUAGGGUUAGGGUUGGAGCUAGGGUUAGGGUUAGGGUUAGGGUUGGAGUUAGGGUUAGUGUUGGAGCUAGGGUUAGGGUUGGGCUUGGAGCUAGGAUUUUUCUGAGUGCACUGAACCAACUCCCGAGUCUCUAGGACAUUCCUAAAAAAAUUUGAUUUUUUCCCAUAGGAAUGCAUGGGUUAGGGUUAUGGUUAGGGUUAGGGUUGGAGCUAGGGUUAGGGUUAGGGUUAGGGUUGGAGUUAGGGUUAGUGUUGGAGCUAGGGUUAGGGUUGGGCUUGGAGCUAGGAUUUUUCUGAGUGCACUGAACCAACUCCCGAGUCUCUAGGACAUUCCUAAAAAAAUUUGAUUUUUUCCCAUAGGAAUGCAUGGGUUAGGGUUAGGGUUAGGGUUGGAGCUAGGGUUAGGGUUAGGGUUAGGGUUGGAGUUAGGGUUAGUGUUGGAGCUAGGGUUAGGGUUGGGCUUGGAGCUAGGAUUUUUCUGAGUGCACUGAACCAACUCCCGAGUCUCUAGGACAUUCCUAAAAAAAUUUGAUUUUUUCCCAUAGGAAUGCAUGGGUUAGGGUUAUGGUUAGGGUUAGGGUUGGAGCUAGGGUUAGGGUUAGGGUUAGGGUUGGAGUUAGGGUUAGUGUUGGAGCUAGGGUUAGGGUUGGGCUUGGAGCUAGGAUUUUUCUGAGUGCACUGAACCAACUCCCGAGUCUCUAGGACAUUCCUAAAAAAUUUGAUUUUUUCCCAUAGGAAUGCAUGGGUUAGGGUUAUGGUUAGGGUUAGGGUUGGAGCUAGGGUUAGGGUUAGGGUUAGGGUUGGAGUUAGGGUUAGUGUUGGAGCUAGGGUUAGGGUUGGGCUUGGAGCUAGGAUUUUUCUGAGUGCACUGAACCAACUCCCGAGUCUCUAGGACAUUCCUAAAAAAAUUUGAUUUUUUCCCAUAGGAAUGCUAGGGUUAGGGUUGGGCUUGGAGCUAGGAUUUUUCUGAGUGCACUGAACCAACUCCCGAGUCUCUAGGACAUUCCUAAAAAAAUUGAGUUUUUCCCAUAGGAAUGCAUGGGUUAGGGGGUUAGGGUUAGGGUUGGAGCUAGGGUUAGGGUUAGGGUUAGGGUUGGAGUUAGGGUUAGUGUUGGAGCUAGGGUUAGGGUUGGGCUUGGAGCUAGGAUUUUUCUGAGUGCACUGAACCAACUCCCGAGUCUCUAGGACAUUCCUAAAAAAAUUUGAUUUUUUCCCAUAGGAAUGCAUGGGUUAGGGAUUAUAGUUAGGGUUAGGGUUGGAGCUAGGGUUAGGGUUAGGAUUAGGGUUGGAGUUAGGGUUAGUGUUGGAGCUAGGGUUAGGGUUGGGCUUGGAGCUAGGAUUUUUCUGAGUGCACUGAACCAACUCCCGAGUCUCUAGGACAUUCCUAAAAAAAUUUGAUUUUUUCCCAUAGGAAUGCAUGGGUUAUGGUUAGGGUUAGGGUUGGAGCUAGGGUUAGGGUUAGGGUUAGGGUUGGAGUUAGGGUUAGUGUUGGAGCUAGGUUAGGGUUGGGCUUGGAGCUAGGAUUUUUCUGAGUGCACUGAACCAACUCCCGAGUCUCUAGGACAUUCCUAAAAAAAAUUGAUUUUUUCCCAUAGGAAUGCAUGGGUUAGGGUUAUGGUUAGGGUUAGGGUUGGAGCUAGGGUUAGGGUUAGGGUUAGGGUUGGAGUUAGGGUUAGUGUUGGAGCUAGGGUUAGGGUUGGGCUUGGAGCUAGGAUUUUUCUGAGUGCACUGAACCAACUCCCGAGUCUCUAGGACAUUCCUAAAAAAAUUUGAUUUUUUCCAUAGGAAUGCAUGGGUUAGGGUUAUGGUUAGGGUUAGGGUUGGAGCUAGGGUUAGGGUUAGGGUUAGGGUUGGAGUUAGGGUUAGUGUUGGAGCUAGGGUUAGGGUUGGGCUUGGAGCUAGGAUUUUUCUGAGUGCACUGAACCAACUCCCGAGUCUCUAGGACGUUCCUAAAAAAAUUUGAUUUUUUCCCAUAGGAAUGCAUGGGUUAGGGUUAGGGUUAGGGUUGGAGCUAGGGUUAGGGUUAGGGUUAGGGUUGGAGUUAGGGUUAGUGUUGGAGCUAGGGUUAGGGUUGGGCUUGGAGCUAGGAUUUUUCUGAGUGCACUGAACCAACUGGAGUCUCUAGGACAUUCCUAAAAAAUUUGAUUUUUUCCCAUAGGAAUGCAUGGGUUAGGGUUAUGGUUAGGGUUAGGGUUGGAGCUAGGGUUAGGGUUAGGGUUAGGGUUGGAGGGAGCUAGGGUUAGGGUUGGGCUUGGAGCUAGGAUUUUUCUGAGUGCACUGAACCAACUCCCGAGUCUCUAGGACAUUCCUAAAAAAAUUUGAUUUUUUCCCAUAGAAUGCAUGGGUUAGGGUUAUGGUUAGGGUUAGGGUUGGAGCUAGGGUUAGGGUUAGGGUUAGGGUUGGAGUUAGGGUUAGUGUUGGAGCUAGGGUUAGGGUUGGGCUUGGAGCUAGGAUUUUUCUGAGUGCACUGAACCAACUCCCGAGUCUCUAGGACAUUCCUAAA